rnacentral:lncRNA from 1 species
AUUCACUCUAAAUCCUCAUGAUGAUUCAUUAUGCUGUUGCUGAGAGGUGACAGUGACGUUUUAAUGCAUGUUGAGUGAAAAUCGGGUGUGAGAAAUGGCACUGGUACAGUAGUUCUUGCAGUCAUUAGUACUCAUCUGAUUGUGGUUUUUAUUCAACAUGAGCUCAUUCAAAAAACCCUAGGAAUUUAAAGAGAAUAUUUUUUUAAAGAGAAAUGCACAACUUGAGUAGCAUCCACACUAACACUCAAAAGUGUUAUUACUGAUUCUACCUCUAUAAAUUCUAGGGCAGGAGAGAACUUAACCCAGAAUUUAAUUCACUGGAAUUCACUACAGCUUUCCCUAGCAUUCCCCCUUCCUCCCCUCCAAGAUUAUCGGUGAAACUAUCAGUUAUUGUACAAGGAGUUGUUUUGCUUUGUGGGCACCUGUUUGGUGAGAACUGCUGUCACAUUUUUUCAGUUACUUCUGAAAAAGUGUAGAACCUGUUGCCUCCUGUUUUAUAAUGUUGGCCCACAAUGUCAGAGGCAGCUGUGGGAUGGCAGCAGAGGCUGGACCUUCCCACCAGCAUUCCAUGGCAUGUUGUUGCUGUGUGACAGAUGGCAGCAGAGGGGCACUCUGACAGAAUAGCGCCUGACAUGGAAGUGCGGGUGGAGCAAACGGAUGGAACUGAAUUCCUCCACGUGGAAAAUAUUUCAUCCACUGGCAUUCAUUGAUGUUUGUGAAAGUUUCUGAAGACUGAACAGUGGGUGUCAGCAUUGUGAAGGGGGGUGGCACGUUUCAGCAGUGGCAGCAGUGACAGUGGUCGUCUCCACUAGUGCAGGUUUGUAUGAGCAUGGCAUGCAGGCUCUUGUUCAUUGUUGGCAGAGAUCCAUAGCUCAUGGUGGUGACUAUGUUGGAAAAUGGUGUUUCAUAGCUGAGAUCGUGCUCUGUCAAAUAGCGGUGUUGUGCUCUUUGUAUCUGUUAUUGAUUCCAAGGAAACAUACAGGAAGCAUUACUUUCAGAGACUUGUGUGUGUGUGUGUAUCUUUAUUAAUACAAAGCAGGUGAUGCAAAAAACAGUUGCUCACUGCCCACUGACUGAUGUCCAAGCAGUCCCCAGGCAGCUGUCCCCUCAGCCAACACCCCCCAGUUUUCAAAGUUUUGAGGUUUUUGUUGUUGUUGUUUUUGUUUGUUUGUUUUUGUUUUUGCUUGAUGUCACAUGGUAUAGAAUAUUCUCCUGGACAGGUUAGGUUAGCUGUCCUGGUUCUGGCCCCUUUCAGCAUCACAUGAGAUGCUGGAAAAAAUAAAAUAAAAAUUCAUUUCUCUCCCAGUUGAAACCAGGACAGGGGCCAUAAGUUGUGAGUAAUUUUCAGAAUAUUCUUCUGGAACCACUUUCAAUAUAGUGUUAAAUUUUUUAGAGGAAAUGUUUUUUGUUUUGGCUUUUUAGCUUCUUCCAAGGUGUUCAUGCAUGCCCAGUGGAAUUUAACUUAUACCUUUGUUUGAAAAAGGAUAUUAAAAGACAUAGUUGCACGGUACUUUGUGUGAGCUCACACAUUUUAUUUGUAUAUAUAUUUGGUACUUUUAGAUAUCGCUAUUCAGGAAAUAGUGUUAAAAAUACCUGAUAUCAAUGCUGUAGAAAAAGAAAAAGCACAAUAGCAGUCUGGCCAUGUUGACUAUGCUGUGGAUCAAAGAUAGCUGUAUCUUCUGCGAUGAAGAUGCUUAAGUGAGGGGAAACUUGUGCAAUCUUCAGUUGGGUUCUUCUUGUAUCUUGAGGAAGAAGACAAAAUGUCACGAUUUUUGUGAGUAACAGCUCUGGAGCUGUCAGGAAGAUGUUGGAAUUGAUCUUUAAAAUAGAUCUCUGUUACCAUAUUUAGAUAUUAAAAAAAACCACAAACACAGCACCCAACUCUGAGAGUAAUUAAGUUGUGUGUGAAAUGUAGUCAGAUUUUUUUUUUAGCACUUCUUUUUUUAAGUCUUGACACAGCUAUUUUUACUUCAUCUGACAAAUUAAAUCAUUAUUGCUACUUCCUUUACAUUACUGAAUCUCUGCUCAUCUCUGAAGUGUAUGUGAGAAUAUUUUCUCUAUUCAUUGUAUAUUUUUUCCAUAAAGAAUAAUUGCCAUUUCCACAGCUGAGCAUCACAAACAUCAGAAGCAUCCAUGAACUUCGCAUUUUUUCUUUUUUCUGUAGAGCUGUUUCAGAAAGUCAAAAAACUUGAAAUGAAGGAAAUGAACGUUUUAGAUUGUCCUUGAAAAGGAAGUCAUGAAGAAUUCUGCAAAGACUGAAUGUUUUUCUGUCACAUUAAAAAAUAUAUUCCAAAAGACAACCUUUAAAUGUAGUGAAGUAUUCUAAGUAUAUUCAUAUGAAUCUGUUCCAUGUACUUGAGCAUUUAUUAAAAAGACAAAGUAAUACUUAUACUAAAUCUUCAAACAAAUCACUCUGAUAAAGUUGGCUUUUUAUUUGCCAUGAUUGUGUACAUUUUUAAGAAUGCAUAUUUGCUCUGAAAUAAUUUUAAUAAUAAUAGUGGUCAUUAUCAGUUAUCAAUGAAUAGAAAUUUGAUAAUUUUUGAAUAAAAUAUUAUUGCACUUGCAAGAGUUGAAAACUUCUGCUGGAAAUUCUGUGCAGCCAGUGCAUUUUUUCCUGCUGUUUGUCCUUCAGUGCUGGGACUAUCAACAGACCUCUGUUUUGCACAUUCUAAUUUUUGAAAUUUAAGGCCACCAAUGUCCACCUCUGACACUGUGGGCCAACAUAAUAAAGUAGGAGGCAUUAAUUUGGAGCAGCUCUUGUUUAUCAUGUUAACUGAAGAGGGAGAAAUAAGAGAGGAGGACAGACUUGACUUAGAGAUCUGCUUUUGGAACUGAGACAGAUAACUUGUGUGAGGUGCCUCCUGCAGGAAGAAGUAUGGGGAUAUUGUUAGAAACACAUUCUGAUGUGGCUUAGCAAGUAUCUGGAUCACGUUGCAUUUGGAGUUUGGUAUUGUCUCUUGGUUGUUUAUGCUGUUUUGACUUGGUGUAACCUAAUUGCGUCUCAGCUUUUUGGGUAGAGCCACAGAGUGACUUUCAAACAUUGUGCUGCAAUUUACUUAUGGGCCAUAUAACUAGUGCUAUCUGCUUCUUCCUUUUCUGUCCUGUUAUUCCCCAUUAUCUAGAUCGAAACUGCGACAAGUCCUGACAGUAUUCAUGAAAGUCUGCCAGGCAGGCUUAGUAACUGUUAAUUAUGAUUUUAACAUCAUACUUCUAGAUGAAGACAGGAGAUGCUGCUCUUUUUUUGUCCGGUAAUUGUAUUGGGUCAUCAGUAACGAUAAUAAGAUUUGAGAUUCAUGGCAGAAUAAGACCAAAGUAUUUCAAGGAUUGGAGCUUCUGCUGUGUUCUGACAUCAGCUUUCAUAAAUGUGUGUGUGCUUGACAGCUACAAGGCAGAGCAAAGCACCCAAAUAUGCCAUAGACUUACUAUAAAAAAAAAAUGGAAUUUUUGAUUCUUUAGCUAUGCUGGCAUUCUAUAAAUUAUUUUCGCUCCCUAAACAAGCUUUGGACACUUCAAAGUAGAUUAUAGCUGUAUCACUUCAGCUAGGCACUGUUCUACCUUUGACAGUCUUUUCAUAUAUGCUUAUUUUCUCUGAAGCUUGUUUUGGAUACAUUGUCUCGUAUCUUUAUGAAGUUUGAAGAGAAUAAAAAUGUGUUUGUACAUGCUUUGCCUUUCAUCUAAAAUAUUUUUUUAUUUUAAUUAACUGGCUAUUCCUUUUUUUAGUUCCUUCUUACAGAGGAAAAUACUGGGAUGAGAUCAGAUGAUUAACUUCCCAUCACUUAGGUUCAAAUCUGAAAACUUCUGGAAAGUAGUUGCUGCAAAUGCUUGAGGUUGGGUACACAAAGUUAUAAGCUAUUCUUAGAAGUCUUUGCAGAAGAAUUUUCUGAAUUUCCGUUUAUAAGCUGCACCAGUUUCUGAACUUCAUAGAAGUGUAUUAUUGAACGUGUAAGAUGUUGUAUAACGUAAGUCAUUGUGAGAUCUGUGAAUAAUUUGAUUUUAUCCACUCACCAAUUGUUUCAUUGAUUUCCUUCAAUCGUACUCAUGUACAGCUUGUAUGCAACAUGACAAUUAAUGUUGCAGUGACAUUAGUGACAGUAGAGAUGCAGUGUAAUUUAUUAAGGAAGCAAAAACACCCAGCACAAACACACCAUGGUUUUUGUUGGCCUUACAGCAUGCAGCAGCACAGAUCCCAGAAUGAAACGUGUUGCAAACAGACUGUGUUCCACCUUUGAGGGACUGAGGCUGCUGCUUUCCUGAAGCCACAAGCAAGAGACUUGUAUGUGAGAAAUAGGAGGUAAUUAAUCUGUGCUAUUUAGUGCUAACGAGGCAGAAAUAAUGUUCAGUUUUGGGAGUCGCACUGAUAUCCAACAGUGUCAAAGAUGUUGACAAAUUUCAGAGCAAAAAGUGCAGAAACACUUUUGAAAUGACGACCUGUGAAGAAAUGUUAAAUGAGAUGGGUUUAUUAAGACUGGAGAACUGGAUAAUGUGGUUCUUCAUAGCUUAACACCUCGAUCAGGCAAGCAGUAGUAGUCAUAGAAUCAUAGUAUCCUUUGAAUUGGAAAGGACCCCUAAAGGUCAUCUAGUCCAACUCCCCUGCCAUGAAUAUGGGCAUCUACAGAUAGAUCAGUAGAAAGCAGGCUGCUGGUGCUGCUGCAGCCAAGAGACAGCACAGGAGCACCUCAAUGCAGCUAUGAGGUUAGGCACCAGUGCUGGGAUGCAUGUUUCUUAAUACGAGGGAUGCAUAUUGCCUGGUUUUAUGUUGCUCUGCAGCCAAGGCAAUACUAACCCAAAGCUGCGAGGACCAUAAGUUACCUGUUGGCAGGUGAGUACCAGCAUGACACCUCUGGGUCCAUGCUGGAGAAAAGCAAACAGACAUGACCUCCCUAAACAAGAACAGUGCAAAGUGGCAGGCGUUUAUCAUUGGGCGGGCAGUGAUAUAAUACUCUACUGCCUAUGCGUGUAUUCUUAUUCUUCAUAAAUGUAAUCUGAGUGGAUUAGAAGUAAAGUUUACCAAAAGCUGAUAAAACAUUGGAAAAAUGAAAUUGAUUGAAACAAUCAAAAGCCAAACAACAACAAAAUCAAUGAACUUAACUGUGAGACUGAUAUGAUAUUUAGAGAGUCAAGGUCAUUUGUCUAUAUAUUGUAUAUUAUUAGAGAAGUUUAAUGAGUAUGAAUAGUAGAGCACUUUGACAGGUUAACUACAGAGGUUACGGAAUCUCUUUUUUUAAGAAUAGAUUUGAUAAAUAUCUGUCAGAUUGUCAACAUUCUGCAUUUCUUAAGUCAGUACUUGGAUAGUCUUUUACCAUCUAUUCCAGACCUCUUUCACUGGUGUUAUGAAUGAUACCCAAAAUACUACCUUUUUUUCAAAUUAAAGUUUUCUUCCUUGUUCUUCCCAAAUCUUUCCUUCAUUUUUUUCAUCUUGUAUGAUUAGUUUUCUGAUCACAUAUAUAUUUUUUUUGUCUCAACCAAGUAAAUGUGGAAAAUUGUUAAGAAAAAACUAAUAAGCAGAGAAGUAAAAGACUGAAGAUAGUAAGGAGAAAUAAUUGUCUAAUUACAGUAUUGUGUGUGCAGAAUCCAAAGUGAAUGCUCUUGCUGUGAUAGAAUGAAGUGCUGCAGGAAGAAGUAGGUGUAGUAAAGAGGAAAGCCAUGAAUAAAGUGGGGGUAACAGAGCAGGUAAGGGGAAAUUCAGAAAAACCGUGGGAGUUGAAAGAAAGAAAAAUGAAAAUGGGAGCUAAGAGAGAGGCUGACAAAUGGGUACAGGAGCUCAAAGGGGACUGGAUUGGAAGAGAAUUUUUGGAUCUGGGGAGGGGAAACUGUGAAAUAACCUAGAACACUAGUUCAGAGAAGGUAGUAGAAAUGGGAAAGACAAAAUAGCAUUGCCUGGGGAGAGCUCAGUAAGAGCACUGGUACUGGGAAGAACAGCUGAAGUGUUGAAGGAUUUUGACAAGAGAUCAGGAAGUCAGAGGAGGCAAAGAAUUAACAUCUGAGACCAGCAGACAGAGUAGUGUCAGAAGCAGGGGAGCUCUACAAAAAGCUUUUCAGACCCUCCAGCUAGCUCCUAUUCUAGAGAGAUUCUUGCCAUCAGCACUACAGCCUACUUUUCCAGGCUGUGGUUAUUUAUUCUUAAGUGUUAAUCUGGCUUCUGUAACCUUAUCUGAAAAUCGUGAUUUGAUCUCUUGUUUGUGAGAUAUUACUCUUCAUAAUUUUAAUAAACAUUCUUAUCCAUUGCAAACAUGUAGGAGAAAUCUUGUUUACCUUCCAUUCCUGCAAUGAAAAAUUCAGAACUCUUUGCUGUGCUUUGCAAUGUUGUCUAUUUUACUGUAUUCAUGUGAGACUUCACUUUCUAGAAAUGUAAUGUUCAUCUGGUUUAUGUUUCUCUAAAUGAGUUAAUAACACUCCAAUGCUGUUUACAGUUUGUGCUUGAGUAGAAUUUUUCAUUGCUUUCCUGCUUUUUAAGUAGUUAAUUGAGUUCUGAGGGUGAACAAUCUUCUACAUAGAAAUAAAGCUUGAAAAAGGAGAUGCUGAGAAUGAAGCCCAGAUGCAUAGCAGAUAUGCAUCAUCUGGCAUAUUUGUAGUUUCAUGUGUAAGAGAAGUAAGCAUAGGCAAGCUGGAAUUAGUUUGGGCGUAAGACUGCUACAGGAGAGCAGGUGUUGGGAUUAGAAAAUAACUACAAUGACUAAGGAUGGACUGAAUACUAUACCAAAUACAGAACGCCAGAAGACUGUUCAAGUGUACUUUUGUCUUAAUAUAUGAACUUCCUACUACUGACUAUUCAUCAAGUUGGUAAGUGUUAGGCUCCCUUGGUAAACGUUAUUUUUCUGUUUUCUGUUGCAUAUUUCAGCAGAAGGUUUAGUAUUUCCAUCUUAAGUGCAUGAGAUUCAGCUCUGCACUUGAGAAGAUCAGCUCUGAGUCUUUCCAAGGAUGCUGCAUUACUCUGCCCACGAUUUUUACAUCUCCAGUGAUCUGUCCCUCCAGUCAACAUAUGGGACCUUGCAGUCCUUCUUACUCUUUAAAACUUUUUUGUGCCUCUGUGUUAUGGAUUACAAAGGAAAACUAGCACCUCAGCCAUAAAAGAGAUUUUUUGAAAUCUCUGUUAAUAUAUUGGGCCAACAGAGAUAUUCAGAAAAUGAUUGUCAUUCAGAUAGCUUUACUUCAUAUGGUAAUUGAGGAGGGAAAUGCCAUUUUUAAUUAUUCUUGGAAACAAAGGGAUUUACUCUUCACUCAGUUCUUUGUGGCUGUAGUUAGUUAUUUAAGGGCUUGAUCCUUUCAUUCUGAACUUGUCUAUUUAUUUCAGUAAUAUAGCUGCAUUUCAGCUUUUAAUUGUUCUAAAGCAUUAACUAUGUGGGAUGCUGUACGAAGGUUCAUGAAAUGGGUUACCCAUGUGGGCUCUAAUGUCAAUGUUUCAUCAGGAGCAUAGCAUAAAUUGUGUGGUCAAUUUCAGUUUGGAAACAAAGACUGCUUCUGGUGAUAGCUAAGAUUGCCUUGUAAAGCCUAGGACAACUGGCAGGCAUUUGGAGAUGCUUGGGAUAGAGAGGGAGAAGCUAGUUUGUGUCAUUACAGUUCUGCCCAAUGAACAAGCAGAGGCAGGUGGGUAGGUUGCUAGGAAUUGCCUAGUCUGUUUCUUCUUGUUUAAAAUUUACUGCAUUAGUAUUUUCACUGUGUGCUGGGCAGAGAGCAUGCAAAAAAGGAGUAGAAAAGAUGAAAAAUUACUUAAAUUUAUCUGAAAAAAGGUUGUAGACCUUUAGUAUUGAAUUGCGGUGGGGAAUCUUCAUGAGGAAAGACAAAUUGUAAAGGAAAAAGUGCAAACAAUCGUUAGUAUUUGAUCAGUCGUGAAUGUGCCUUUAUGUCUUCAUUCUUAAGUAAUGUAAUUUUCUACCGUUUGGCACUAAUUUUGCCCCAUGAAAUUCUCUGUUCUGCAUAAAGGAAUGCUGUCUGAGCAAUGUAAACAGUCAGCUGUAAGACUGAAUAAUUUGAGUUGAACUUCUUUGGCUUUUGUCACUUGCUAAUAAUUCUUCACCGUGCUUACAGUGCCAGUAUUUUGAAUGAACUGGAAUGGUAUAAAACAACACAUUUUUGAAAAUAUAUUACAGGUAAAAUUAGAUGAAACAGUGUUAUCAUUCCUAUGAACAUGAUGAAAUAUGUAAAAGAGAGAAAUUCUCAUUGGAAGGUAAGAGUAGUUAUUCCAAUUACUUUGCUCAGGGACUGAAAUUCAGUACUGCAAGUGUCAACGGUAUAAGGGCUGGUCCGGCCCGGUUCCGCGACUAGUGGGGCGGAGGGAUUUCACAAAAUCCACACCUCCAGGAAGGGAAACGGGGGACCCCAAAAUAAUUAAAAACAGCGGCAACGAUCUGAGGAGAAACAAACUAAUUUACUAAAUAUAGUAUCGGAAUGUAAGAUAACACACAAUAAUACAAUAUAAAUCAAAAAUAAUUGAGAAAAAGAUUGUCCAAGAGCCAAAGGCCUUACGCUAAUACUGAAGCCUUGCGUGCAGUCGGGUGCAGCAGUAGCGAGCCGAUCCAACAGGGAACACGGCGAGACGAGAAGAGAGGGGGCGAGUCAGAUGACCUGCGCCCUUAUAUCUGUUCCCUUGAGCAGGAAUGAUAACAGUACUCGAAAAGGCACCUGGGGAACGUAGUUCUUCUUCUCUUCCAGACAGGUACCUGGAACUAAAGCAUUUGCUCUUUAACUCCCAGUACACUGAAUGAUGUUGUGAUGUGGAAUACUGAUAACCAAAAAUCAUAAAACCAUGACAGCAAGAAAUGGAAUAUCUACCAAAAAGCUGAAGAUGAAAUCUCUGCCAUUACAGAUGUUGAAGCUGCAUUAUUUGCGCUUGUAUAACUUACUUGUAUUGCUUUAUAAAGUAAUAACUGUUUGGGGGAUUUAAAAUGUUUUUUGUAUUACUGGCUUACACUUUGAGGCACUUAUUCUUGGCCUUGGUAAUGGUUCCCAGAUUUGAGAAAAACAAGAAAAUAAGUGAAAAAUUGUGAUGGGGAGGAAAAUAAGACAAAAGAAAGAUUGCACAGCUAUGGAUAUGGUUGCAAGACCCUGUGUCUAUUUGCUAUUAACUCAUUUGAAGUUAUUCCACAGGACAGAAAUGAAAAUAUUCUCACACAAUUUAGUAGAUGCUUUCCCUUUUUGUCAUGCCUUAAGUUCACCAGCUGUUUCAGGUUGUGCCUAAAUGCCCUGCUAACAUCUGCAGGCUGUAAUGUUUUGAUGAAGGCAUAAAUUUCAGAUCUUCCUCAUACUGUUAUUUAAUCUCCUUGUUCAUGUUUUGAUGCACAGGUACAUAAUUAAUAAUUUUGAUAUUUAAAGUAUUACUGCAGGUCAUGUUUCUCAGAAUUAUUAUUUGAGAUCCAACAAAUACAUAGGUAGCUGUCAUGAUACUCAGAUCACUUUUACUCAGUUCACGCUUCAAGGUUAUCUCAGUAACUACAGCUGGCAAACACCUGUACUGAAAUCUGCUAAGACAGAUGGGUGCCUGGGAUCAGCUGAAAUGACUGUUAGCAGCCUUGCUCUACACCAGAAUGAAAACCCUGAAAAUAAAGAGGAAGCUGGAGAGGGUGGCAGACAACCGAGCAACACAUCCUGCUCCCACCCUGACUUUCUUUUGAAGAUCUAUCCAAAUUAGUUUUUAUAUGAUACACUCUAAGCAGGCAAAUUUGUUGUUAUUUCUAUAUGAUAGAUUUGAAAAAGAGAUAUUUUGAAAUACAUAUUUUAGCCUGGUUUAUCAAGGAUCUUGAAGUUGUUGGCUGAUUUCAGCUGUUUUUUUGUAGUGGGCUACAGAUAUACAUUCAAAUUGGCCUAGUAUUUCUGGAUGCUCUUAGUAUGGAUCUCUGGUUUACACAAGCACACCUGCUCAUAUGAUAAUUGUGCUGCAAGGGGCACAGGCAUGGCUUUUCUAAGCAAUUCUUUUGGUAAAGUGGGCUGCUUGCUAUUGCUUCAACUUCAGGACCUGGCCAGCAUGUUUAUGCUGCACUGGCUGUCACAAUGGUAAUGUCAAGGAAUGGUAUGGCUUUCUCCCCUGCCCUGUCUGUUGAGCAAGUGAAUGAAAACUUUCCUGCUGUCAAUUUGGGUGGGAGUCAAAUCAGUGAUUCUAUUUUAAUAAGUAGCUUUCUCUUUGUCUGUUCUCAGCUCUCCAUUGCAUUCUGCCAUUUUUUGAUCCUCCUGUCAUAUUUACAAGCUUUCUUCACAUUUGUGAGAGUAAAAAUGCUAUUGGGAAAUAAAAGGCAGAUAUGUUUGCUAGAAUGCUGUAUUUUGGAGGCAGAAAAAAAGUACAAUGUUAUUAGGAGAACAUUCUUUCCUUUUCCUAUUUAUAUGAGACAAAUUCUGUACGCUGCUGCCUGAAGGAUAGAGGUAUGACAAGUAAAAGCUCUCCAGAGAACAGAAGCUGAAAAUGUGGUAUUUGUAUUACUGGACAAAAAUAAGUACAGUGCAUGGGUUUGCACACACCCAUGAAUGGGCUGCAGAUGGACUGGGGGUAGUGACAGGCUGUGUCCUGCCCUGUUUGUACUGUGUGGUCAGGGUGCCAAUACAGCCAAGUAAUAAGCACACCAGAUCUUCAGCUCAGGGUUAUUAGUGCUGCUCUGUGCAUCAAUUAAGGAAUGCACUACUGAAAGCAACCAACGAAACAAAAAGCUCCAAACUUAAUGUGAUAAUCCAUGGCUGGAAUCUAGAGUGAAAGCCAUUUAUUGCACUAAUAGUUUUUAAUUUGUCUAACCAGUGCUGCUGAAGCAUUUUGUGUUUGGCAAAACAAACAAACAAACAAAACAACAACAAAAAAACUGGCGCAAUGGUGUAAUUGCAUACAAACUAAUUAUUUGCACAGAGUUUUGAUUUAAAGACACUAUUGAAGUGCUUGUUGCCAAAAUGUUUUUAAAAUCAGCACUGAUGCAAUUUUACUUGUGUUUGCAGUUUCAGGGAUGUGUUUCCCAGCACAUGCAGAUCCACAGGGUAUCAUGCAGUGUGUGUGCCUAGCAAGUCCACAGCUACACUUGCUUCUGUGCACUCUUUGAUUAAAUGCCUAGGUGAGAUUUUCAAAGGAAGCUGGUAGAAUCAGGUUACUUAUGUCAGUGUUACACUUUAUGUGGAGAAGGAAAUCUUUUGUCUUCUCCACUCAUCUUUCCACCAAGAAACAAUUUCCUUAGCUGUAGUGUGGUAACUUUUCCUUUUUGGGGUGGUGUAUCAAUAAGUAAUAAGUAUAUAAUUGUAUGUUGUUUAAUCCAAGAGCUGGAGAGUAGUGUUUGACUUAAUGUGCAAUUACUGUGUGCUGGUUAGUGAAAUUUACAUAUGAAACAUCAGGAAGUGCUUUUGCCAGUAGCAAGUGGAAUUAAUCUUAGUAAAUCACCAGAAUGCAUUUUCAGAGUGGUGACCUUGCUUUAUUGCUGUGGUGAUGCUGUUAACAAUAAGAUCUGAGUUCUGGAAGUUGGUAAGAUAUAUAAAGCAUUAUCACUUUCCCCCUUGGAUCUUAGAAUUAGUAGGCAGCUUAUUAUUAGAAAGUAUUAUUUUACUCUAUAAAUGUUUUCUGGGUUGUGCAUGGAGCAUCCAUCACAGGGGUUCUAUGUGUUUUACUGUUCCUGUGUUGCACCAGUGAGCUCCAGUGGUGGUACAGUUGUCAUCUCAUACUAAAAUCAUCCCACAUUGUGCUUCCCAAAAUGCUCACAUGCAGCAAGGAAUGAAAUGACUGUGCUAUAUUGAGGAGCACAAAUGUGAGCUCACUGGUGUGGCUGGAUCAACUGCUGCUGUCUUUUUCCAAAGCUAAUAUUGUUGGUAUAGAGGGAAAUCAGGAGCAUUGAGCUGCCAGGGAUAUUCCAUGCCUUCCUCCUUGCUGUGUUAUUGGGCACAGAUCCUGAUCUCAGGGGCUACUUUCUUGUGAAUUUGUGUAUUUCAUUCAGAAGUGGCAGUGUUUGUGCAUUCUGAAUGCUUCUUUCUUCCCCUCAAAGCCCUCCAAGUGUUAUGAGCUUCAUUUGAACGCUGGUUAUUAACUACCUAAAACCUGAAAUACUCUUGAAUUUAGAAAAGAUUUUAUAACAUUUGUAAACAACAAUAAGUGGGGAAAAAAGGUAAAAUUGUAUGUGUCAUUCUGUUUUCUACCACAUGCGAUUUGCAGUUCAAAGUGAAUAUAUUUAAAUAAACACCCCUGCAGCUACUGUUUACAGUAGCCUUCAAAGAAUGAUGAAAGCUUUUAAAUAAUGUAGAAUAUUACGUGACUUAUUUUUCAAAACACAUGCACUGCUUAUUUUGGAGUGAAAUGUCUGUGCUUCAGAUUAGAUGGAUUACAGACAGCUGCUGCAUUUACUGACUGUUACAGAUGGAAGAGAAAAUAAAUGUAGGGAGAAGAUGUAGAAAAUGAACGAUUCUUAGGAGUGCCUUAUGUCUGAACAGCAGUAGCUUAAAGGCAAAUCAAAUUAUCUCAGACAUCAUCUUUAUAGAUAAGAGUAUCUCUCUCUUAGAAGAGGGCGAAAAAUAGAAAUGAGAAACAAUAUAGGCUCUCUGGUUUCUUAUAUGCAUAUUUACUGUAAGUUUUCUGGGAGAAGGGAUAUGCUGCUGGUUGUAUCAUCGUCCUCACUUCCCUUCUACUUACACUACUACCCAUUGGCAGCAUCUAUAUAUAGCCCGUGUUGUUUUACUGAGUAAGCCUUUAAGUGUUGAUAUAACAAAGAUAUUAAGAAGCAUUUAGCCGUUUCUGUGUUCAACUCUACAUUUGCUCUUUUUAGCCAGCAAUUUCUUCUCUGUACUGACUGCUGGUUAUAUACUUAUAUCUUGGCUAGCUGCAGGAUAAGUAGUGGGGACACUGACUCAGCUUCAUGCUGAAGGUUGACCAGCCCCACCUGUCUGGAGAGGUUUUGUAUUUUUACUAAUCUUAAGGCUAUCAAAAUUACAUCACUUAUACUAUUAAAGACAAAUUAAAGUUGAUUUAAAGCGUGUCUACACAGACCACAGUUGUUCCAGCCUCGUGAAAGUAUGAUAGAAGAUGCAAACAGAAAAAGACCAUGAUACAAGCUUGUGGAAAACCUAGGAAAACUUUCUAUUUCAGCUCAGCUAUUGGAUGAGUUAUGCCCUGAGCACAGAGCUGUACACUUCUCGUUUCCUUCUUGUGCACCAAAAAUGGCUUGUAUUUUCCACCACACUUUUGUCUAUGAUUUUAUAUGUAGUCAGCAGAUACCACUGCUUAAUGACAUCUGGCAUAAACUUAUUUAUCAGGUUUCCACUUGUUUUACUUCUCAUGCUUUGUGAAGGAGAAGGUGUAUUUGAAAGGAAACACUCUGAUCUCUCCUCUGUAGGAGUAGCAGCUCCUCUCUUUUAAGUUCCUUUUCUCAGUGGCUAUUCAAGUUUGCUGAUUUCUGUGAUACUCAGUUGUCACUGAGCAAGAGCUGUAUGUCCUUCUAAGCAUCUUAAAUAGAAACAAAAUGAAAUUUCUUUGAGUUUUGUAAACUCACUGUUUUGACACUAUUGUCUUUUUCCUAACUUGAUAUCAGUUCUCUCCUAGUUAUUAAAAUGAACAGAGACUUACCAGUUGUAGAAACUGUGCCUCAUCUCUAAGAAGCAGAGCACAGGAUACAUGUACCAAGAUGAGCAGGACUAGUGGAGGUUCUUCUCACGUGAAAACAUAACAGGUCUUGUAGGAAAUGCUACAAUCAGUGGAAAACAAAAUUGAGGUGUAUACCCCAAAGCCUCUUUAAGGACUGCUGUAAGGGUAGGAACUUGUUCAGGGCUUGCUGCUUUUAUCUCCUUUGCGUGCUUGUUUUGCUGGGGCUCAGAGGACAAUGUGCUUAUGAAGUUUUAUCAUGUGUGUGCUGAAUGAAGCAGAGCUUCUUCACUUAAUUUUUUUUUUCUUUCUUUUUUCUUCUGGUCUAGAGGCUCCUGAGGCUUAGUAUUUAGGGGCUUUUCUUCAUUAGAAAUGAGUGCAUUUUGGCUUCCUUAGUCCUGCUAGCACUUCUUAUGUUGAGUCUUCAUGCUCUCUACUUAAACAUGAACUACUACUAUGUAUACUACUGUGCAGCACGCAACUGGCAGAUGGUAACAGAUGCUUGGUAGUGUCCUGGCUUGCAGGUGCACAGCCCAGGCUGACGUCAGGUGGGUACCAAAUGUAAAUCACUGCCACUCUUACGAAUGGCUCGCUCCUCUCUCUUAGGAAAAGUUGUAUUUGACAAAGCAGUAUGAGAAAGCUUGCUCCACCACCCUGUGCACAUUUAGUCUGCUUGUUGAGCUGUAGACAGAGCAGUUAUAUUUUAGAAUUUAUCAAUCUAUACAUAUAUUUUCCAGCAUAAACUUUAAAUUUUUUUUUAUUUAAAAGCAGGUGUUCAGAAACAGUGACAGCUAAUAUUCUCUGGAAUCAGAAUUGAAAUUGGUAGAUAAUAUUUUCCUCUCUCAGAAGUCUUCUGAUGAAUAUGCAGGAAAAUCUCCAUUCAUCAGAACACCCAUAUUGCAGAAGCUGGAAAUAACUUCCUGUGCUAUUCUUGUAAAAACUAGGUUGGAUUUUGGAAAUAUUCAUCUCAGCAGGGUAAAAUAGCCAGUAUGUAAUGCUCUUCUGUAGUGUUUUCAUUGUUGCCUUAUUCCCUGAUGCCAGGAGUAGUGCAGAAGAGAGGAAAAUAUUCAAGAAAUAAUAAUAAAAAUUAAAACCUUGGGUUUUGAUAAAACUGAUAUGUCAAACAAAGGUGAAGGAAUUUUUCUUUCGAACUAUGAAUUAUUAUUUUUUUCAGUCCCUUGAGGACUGAUACUUAAAAUCAGAGCCCCAAGGUUUAUACUUAACCCUAUGCUAGACCAGCAUAGGUUUUUUUUAUGCUUAAUUCUUUUUCUUAGCACCCAACUGUGAGUAGAGCUUUGUGCCGCUCUAUGAAUGUACUUUGAAUCUGAAGUUGGUUCUUCAACAAAAAGUAUGUUCACGUACUCAGGAUAUUAAAAUUUAAUGUUGUCCUACUGUUGUGGUUUUAUGAUUUUUAUUAUCGAUAUUCCACAUUAUCAUAUCAUGUAAUGCACUGUGGGAGUCUCAGAAGAGAAGAUAUGUACUACAGCUCCCAAAAAACUUUGCUGUUCUGUUUCUGUUUUCCAGUCAGUAGGAAAGGUGAAACUGACUGGAAGUCACGAGCCUAGCUCUCUUUGUUCCCUGGUGGAUCAGACUAAGAACCUCAGUUUUCAGAAACUCUCAUUUUAUUUCAUUUAUUAGCUUUCAUCUUGAUUAACUUGUACUUCUGCUAUUAUAGUUAGUGAUCUGAGGAGAAAAGGUAAUUUACUGCUAUUUGUUUUUUUUCUUUCCCUCUUUGUUCCCUUCCCUCACCACCAUUUUGGGCCGGUGGGCCUGCUGACCCUGUCACAGACACAGGUGGAUCUAGAGAUAACUGUGGCACUUACUGCCUUCCGUGGACUUGGAUAAAAUUUGUUUUCCCUUUUAUGCCUUUCUAAAGUGAGGUUAGCGGUAUUGUACUGCUUAUAGAAAUGUUCAGUAGAAACAUACACUAAAGAUAUUAACAUACACGGAAGCAAUAUAUUCCACCUUGGGCUAUAGAUUCAAUGUCAUGAUAAGACAAGGAGACAUGCCGCGAUCCCUUUUUCAAGAAAUAUCAAAACAGAUUUAAAUAAACUUGAAUUGAGGAAAUACAUUCAGUCAUUGGCUUCUCCUGUACAGUCACUUUUAAAAAUAAAUACAUUCUUAGAUAAGAUUCCAAAAGUAGUAAUACUUAUUAUGGUAUGUUCAUUCAUUUUAUUUUGUCCUCCAAACUCUUCAAAUCUUGAUAAUCUUCACAAAUAAAGCCAAGAUUAUCCGUGUUUAUGCAUUUACUUUUUGUGUUUUCUAUUAAAUGAACAUUGUUAUAUGAAAGGACUGUUCUCUACUCUGAACCUACAGGUCUCUGUUUAAUUGUUUCUUUCUGGGAAGAAAACAAAACCUUUUUUCUGCUAUAUGGUGUGUAGUAGUCACAAUUUAAGAAUUGCAGUCUAUCACUUUAAACUAUUCUGUUGGCUUCAUAUGUACGUAAGUAGUGGGGAAAACAGGUCUUUGGGAAUGAAAAAUUAAGUCACAUGAAACAGGUGUUUUGACAUGGCAUCAAAAUAAUACUCACAGGAAAGGAACCAUUUUCUGUUUAAUCUUGAUAAAAUAUUUUUCUUCCAAAGCAGAAGUUACUGCUGAGAAAACUUGAAUAUAAGCCUAUUUAAUGUGAUAAUUAUUGAUUUGCGUAGUUCUAGUAUGAUAAGGCUUUAAGCUGAAAAAUUACACUGUAUUUCACGUGUUUCCAAGUCUAACAGAGUUAUUUUAUAUAUAAUUAUGCCAACAGUACAAAGGCUUUUAUUAAUGUAAUUAUUUCAGUCCCUGGAUUUACAUGUGUCUUAGAUACACAAAGCUUUCUGAUUAUAAAGUGUAUUUUUUGUCAGUGCUGUAAAAUUUACUCUAAGAAAGGGUGACAGUUGAAAUGUUUUUUGUCGUGUGAGAUGACUUUUUGAAGCUGGGUGAUGAAGGAAGGAGUACAAGGAACCAUGCUCUGAGCUGAAGAGCGCAGAAAUGUGGUAGGACAAAAUUAAUGCUACCAAAAUAUUCAGAAGAGAAUAAAUAAUAUUUUCAUCUCAAACAGCAGAACUUUGUAGAAGUGCUUCCUUUAUUGGCUUCUGAAUAUUUCUGCAUUUGGCAUUUGGUAAAAAUGAUAAUGGCUAUUGCCAUGUAGGUCUGUGAAACCCGUGUCCUCUCUGCAAAGAGGAGACACUUGAUAGUUUCUUUCAGAAGAACUGAAUAGGGAUAGAGAUUUUCAUCUAGGAAUGGGAAGAACUACUUCUGUGUUCUUCAGUGCAGGCCCAUGAUAAUUUCUCUUCAAGUCAUUUUUUAGCAAAAGUAGGAGAAAGUUUUUGGCAAUUCUUCUGCAGGCAACUUCUUGACUGAAUCAGGCUAUCCUUAUGCUUUCAUAUUUUAGAGAGUAGCUCUUCUAUGCUGCUUAUACAAAAACAAUUAUUUUCAGGAAAAAAAAUCAUCACACCAUGAUUAGAAUAGGAAAUGUAUAUGUGAAUGUACUAGGUUUUAUUUUGUAAAACAAUGAAGAACCUCAUGAAAAAUACAUGACAAAAAACCUGUCCUAAAUACUUAUGCAGUAAGUCUGUGUUGUCUUCUCUGAUGUGAAGUACACUACCCUAGGGAGGACUAUGAAACUUUAUCACCUAGAAAGAAAAAAUCUUCCUUUAUUCAGUUCUCUCUGUCAAAUAAUAAUAGAAAUGAGCUCUCUUGAACAUAAAUGGGUAUUAUGAAUAAACAGACCCACACAUCAUUGAAAUAAUGUUUGAUGUAUCUAUAAAUACCAGGCAAAGCUUAGGCUAUAUCAUGGAAAUGGCACAUGAGCUGAAAAUAACAGCUUAGUUUAAUGGAAGAAUAUUUCCCUCAAAGCAUAUUAUUGAUGUGAAAUCAUUGAGCGUAGAGAUCUAUCUUCACUGAGCAGAUGGUUUGGUCUUCUUGUCAUGUUUUGAACCUCCUCUGAAACAUGUAUAUAUGUUUGCAUGUGUACACACCCACAUACUUUCCCUUACUUGAAGGUUCCUGAGUUAAACUCAGACUAAGUGGACCUAGAGGAGAUGCUCUUAAUCUAUUUAACAUCUCACUCUUAUCUUUCUCCACUAUCUUUCUAUCCAGGAUGAGAUCUCUUUAUAUCAUGGUUCUUAAACUGGUGAACAGACUUUACUGUGGUAUCCUGUUGCUGGUCACUUGCUGAGAGGAGAGCAGGUGGGAGAGGAGGGAGGAGCACUGUGGGGAAAUGCAGGAGAGCCUGUGGGGUGACCCAGUGCUGCUGCAUACUGGGCUGGAGAACUGUACAAAGGAAAGAGACUUUCUGGUCUAUCUAUCACCAGAUCACCAUGAUCACUGUGUUGGUGAUCUGCUGCUUCUCUCUCUACAGUCAGUCUGUACGAUGACUUGUCUUUAGCACUUAGUCCUCUUCUGAAACUAAUUGCUCACCGCAACACCUUCUUUAUAUAGGAGAAAGGAAGAAUUCAAAAAUGACAAUCUCUCUCUGUACUUGUCAGCAUUCUCUUGAAAGGCAAAUUCUUCGGGGCACAGUGUGGUGGUCCAGAAAGCAAUUCCAGAAGUUCUCAGUGUACAAAAUCCUGAAGUAUGCCUAUGCUGUCUCGCAGAAGCAGUGGGAAGGUCUCAUAAUGUGUUUAACUCUGCUGCUGGAGUAAUCACUGCUACUUUAAGCUAAACUUGGUCCCAGAGUGGUCAGAAAAGAGAGACUUGAUACUCUGCUAAUGUUUUAUACGCUGAAUGAAGUGUAUAUGCUGUCAAGAAGUCUUUCAUGCCUCAUCUACCAGUAAGUGUACUACAAAGUGCUUUUAAAGGAUUGUCUCACAUUUACUCAAUUGAAUGACCUUAACAAUUGAUUUCAUUAUCUAGGCAAGUUAUUACUCUGACUUGCUCUGGCUUAACUGCAACUCUGGAACCGAUAAUGUGUUCUUAAUUCGUAAUAAUGUUUUAACCUUGUGGUUGCUGCAGCCAGUCAAGUAAGAAACAGGAGACCAGGAGAAAUCGCCCAUGGGAAAUUUAAGAACUCUUUUGUUCAUUAGCGUUUUAAAGCUACAUUGAAAUGUGUACAAUGGCUGUAGAGAUUUAUUAAUUUGAUUGCAUGUUAGGAAGUAAGUGUUCAGCUCCACUCUUAUCAAAGUGUUCUCUCUUCUGAAGCUUCUAUUACCCUGUCACACUUGACGUACAGUUAAGUUGAGCAGACUGUGCUGUAACUUGGCAUUAUAUGGAACGUCUUCCUGUGAAUUGCUGAACAGCUGGACAUAUCAUGGACUUUCCUGAAAUCUAAUCUUGUUAUAAUCUUGCAUUCUAUACUGGUUAAUUGCUCUAUUAGUGAUAUCUUGUGGUGAUUUUCCAAAGUUCUCACCACAGUUUUAUAUUUGGUUUCAAAGAAAGUUCUUGGAUGCUGAACAGAAUCCGGUGUAGGUUUUUGUAAAGCGCUGCCUAAGAGGUUUGAGACCAACAUAACCUGCUCAUAGCCAAACUCUUUAGGUUAGAGAAACUCCAACUUAAGUAUUGUGUGCCCUACCAUCUGUGUUCUGAUCAUCAUUGAAUGGAGAGGAAGGGAAGCCAGCAAACAACUGAGGUCAUCCCAUUAGGAAAAGACUGGCCAUUGCUGAUCUAAGCUAUGCUGCAAUAAACCUGCUGUGGAUCAGCGAAGAAGGAUGUAGGCAGCUUUUUUUACUUAUGUAUGGAGGAAUAAUUAAAGUGAAUGUUACGGGAAAGAGGAAAGCAAUUGCUUGCUGUGAUAUGUCAGUUUACAUUGCUCUUUCUUAAUUCUUAAAGUUUUGGUUGGAGGGGCAAUGUGGUUUUUUCCCCCUCAACUUUCUUGCCUUUAUAUCUCUAUGCUACAGAAUUUCUCUUUUUAAUGAAAAGCAUAAAGAGAAUCGAAAGUAAAGGAUCAUCUUGAUCCUUAUUUCAUAACUUUCCUUAACAGAUCUUAUUUAUACCCUCAGUGUGCUUGAGGAAAAGAGCUUCAGCCCUUCAAGUACAGAGAUAAAUUCAUGUUUGUAUUUCUUUUGGAGAGGCCCUUCACUAGAGAUUUGUCCUGUGGAGAAUACUCAUAAUGAAAGAAAGUUUUUUGAGUCUGUCCUGUCCAUAGCUCAAGGAAAUUUAGUCUUUAUUAUCUUUCUUAUCUUUAGAUAAGAAAGCAUCCACCAAAAUACAUUAAUUGUAUGCUUCAGUCACAUUUUAAAGCCAUUAUUUGAGCAGAGUUUUGCAUCCUGAGAACACUCCAUGCUGAAAUGGGAUCUGGCUGAUUUUUGACAAAGUGACCAGAAUUCAUACAUGUGAGACUGCUAUAAAAUUUGAUUAUAUAUCAGAGGAAAAGGGAAAUAUUUCAGUAGGAAAGGGCUUCUGGACUUCAACUGGAAUGGGCAAUUAAAUUGGCCUUUAAACAUUUGUAGAGAUAGUGAGUAUUAAAAUGACACUGAAUUCAUUAGUGGACUUUUCUGCCUAGUAUGGUUCUUCUUUCAUGCUACAAACUUCUUUCAGGCUUAUGGUCUAGCUGGAAAUCAUUGUUUUAUAGUAAUCUUACAGAUCAAACUUUAAAAUCUUGAGGUAUAAAGAUUACUGAUGUAAGUCCUAGCACUGCAGGACUUGAUCUUUUCUAUUCCUGGUACAGCUCCAUCCUUUUAUAAAUGCUUGCUUUGGGCUCUAUUAUUCUUGUAGGGGAAUUCACCAAAUCAAAGCAUUGUUGAGAUGUCUGAAAAUGGCACUAAUGUUCUUGAAUUUACCUGAUAUAGCUUUGAAGUACCAGGAAAGCAAACACCAUACAUAUCUUCUCUAAUCUUUUACUGUCGAUAUCUGCUGAACCUGUAGAGUUUCAUGAUUAACUGCUUCUUACUUUUUACAGCAAUUAAUAAGCUGAUUAUCAAGCAAAGAGAGUGGGAGGAAAAAUGACCGCUCUUUUGUGAGACCUACAAAAUGACAGCAUUCUUAGUGUUGCAUCAGAUGUGAUAUAUUUUGAAUAUAAUGAAAUUAUAUGAGCAGAUAAAGAAAUUAUGAAUAGAUAAAUGCUAAUGAAAUUAUGCUAAUGAAAUUAUGAAGAGACUGAAAUAGAGACACAUCUCCUUGGGGUUACCACCGUCAUCCAUGUGUGUGGAUCAGUACAUUUCAAUAAUGGGUGAAUGAAGCUUUUUUCCCUAUGAUGAAAAAAACAUUGGCUUUUUUUUAUCCAGUGCAUUAGAACAAUGUAAGGUAGAUAUGAUGAUUAAAUAUCUAAAUGGAAAUAUCUCUUCAUGGUUUGAAUUUUCCUGGUCUGCCUGUUCUUAGUGUUAUCUUCUGUAGUUUUGUUAUUACUAUUAACCCAGAUUUGUGAAAAUCUGAAUGUCAUAUAAAUGUUACUCAACAUAUCCUCAAAACAAGUAUUUAUUUUGAGGUGUGUUAUUCUGUUGUCUUUAUUGGGACCUAAAUUUUCAGAACGUUUACGACUUGUGAAAGUCACAAUCUUUGGCAGAUGAGGGAAGAGAACAAAACUCCACAUUCUGCAUCACAAUUUCUGUCCAGUCACUGCAUAUUUAAGGACAUUCACAUAUUGCUUAUUUAGCAAAUUGUCUUUCCAAUUCUAUCAUUAAAAGUAGUGUUUAGAGCAUCUCUCCUAUUGUAAGUGCUGAAUCUUUCUGAACUGUAAUUCUGAAAAGCAGCAAGGCAACUUGUAAGUCCAUUGGUAAUCGUGACAAAAGGUUUUCCAAGAGAGAAUACAGCGUUUCAUUUUUUCAUGGAGAGUUCUAAAAUUGAAGGUAGUUUUGUGAUGUCAUAUGUUUUGAGACAAAGAAUUACAUGAAUGAAUUGUAUGUUUGUUUGUUGUUUCAUUUAUUUUAUUAUUUGAGCUGACAUUGGUAAGAAAUUACAUAGGGAAGCACCUGGCUGGUUCUGUGCACUGGACACAGAAAUAAGCAAUAUUUUAAAGUGUUCCCUAAGUUUACUAAACAGAUUUGAAAUAGUGGCUUACAUAGAACUGGAGAAUGGUUGUUAACUGACUGGAAAAGUACUAGAAAAUGUGUAUGAUGUUUUCAUUUAAUUUCUCUUUGAUGCUGGAAUAUUUAAAAUACCAGUGGAAAAACUGAAGAUUUCAGAGUAGUUCUGACGUUUCAUUUGAUGCAAAAUAAAUAAAUACUGGAAAAAGUACUACAAAAGAAUCAAAGAAUAAUAGAGCAAAUUGUAUAACCUUCAUCUAGGUAAGCAGGCAUGAGAGAAAUGUGAGCAGUUAAGCACUGCAACCAGGCUGCCCAGGUCGACUGUGGAAAUUCUGCAGGUAUUCAGAGAGUGAGCAACCAGAGCUAUCUUUGCAGUGGGCUUUGCUUUGAUCGGGGGUUAGGCUGGAUGACUUAGAGUCAUCUAAAAGAGACUUUCAGCUGAAACCAUACUGUGAAUCCGUGAGGGUAAAACCCAGUAUUGCUGAAAGUCUUUUGCACAGUUUGAUUUUGACUUCACUAGUGCCAAAUACAGUCACACAAAGCCCCCAGCAGUUCUGCUGAACUAGCCCCUGGACUAGUCAGCAGUUCUCAGAACCCUCCCAUGAAACAUGGAGCGGUCCUCUGUGCACUGAGCUGGCUGUACGAGCCAGGUUGGUUAUAAGCCAGCAUAUCAGCACUCUGAAGAUCAGUCCCCAUAAAGAGUCAACAUAAUUAUUUGGUUGUGACCCACUUGAGCACUCUUCCAGAAGAAAUGCAUUAAAUAUUCCUCAUUAACUAGGAUGCAUAUCAUGAUCCAAUUCACUUUUUUCUUAGAGAGUUAGGCUUGUAAUUGGCUUGUUUCAGGAAUUGCAGCAGCAAUUUAAUAUAGGUAGAGGUUCAUUAGUACUUUGCUAAUUGGCAUCAGUAAGUUUAAGAAUCAAGAAAAUAUACUGGAAAGUAAUGUAUCUGAACUAGUUUUCUGACCUAAUUCCUGUUACUAGAUAACAUUAGACUCUGAAAAUGUUGGCACCAAACUAGGUAGUAUGUAACCACUAGCUGUUAAUUGCCUGUGGAGGAAUGAGGUAGCGCAGAGAGGUAGCAAACUUUGAAUAUUUUCAGUGUUAUUCUUAAAAAAGUCAAAUAAUCUUACAAGGAAAGACAAGCUGAUGAGUCUCUGUACUGCUAUUAAGUAAAAGAAAUUGAUCAAAGGUUUUAAACAAGUUUCAGAGGGAUUUUCUGGACCAUCAGCAACCAUAGCUGACUAAUACCUCUUCCUAUUCAUUAUAGCCUUAGAGGCUGUGUUCAUGAACACAUUUAUUUUCAAAUAAAUACAUAUAGUUGAGUAACUAAAAUAGUUUCUCUAGUGGUGCUUCUGUAAAAGUGUCUCUACUGGCCAGCAAAUCAGAAAGAAAAUUAACACUAAAACCCAAUAUGCUUCCAGUGUGUUAUCUUAGGAGCUCCCCCAGAGCCUCCCAGCAGGGGUAGCUGACCUGUUUGGCUAGGCAGGACGUGUGUUUCCUCCACACAGUAACCCAGCCAUGUAUGUGAUUUUACAAGAUUAAUGCUCCUGUAAAAAGUAACAGAAGAGAGUUAAACAGAGCAGUAUUGGUUGAUUUUGCUUGAAUCCUCUCUCCACUAGUUGAAGAUGUUUACCAUGAUGUUGCCGGCUAGAGACAGUGACUCAUUUCACUCUUGUGCUGCCGUAUAACAGCUCUCUAAACAGAAAUAGCUUUUUCUUUUGAUGGCUGGCUGAAAGAUAACUCUCAGUUGAUGCAAAUCACUGCAAUGCUAUUGUGAUAUGUACCAUCUUUGAAGAAGUAGUAAGGUAAAGGACAGCCAAUUAUGCUGAAUAAUUGCUACUUUAAAUUGAAAGCAAAUGGAGGAUGAUGAGAAAGGAGGAAUAUCAUUGCCAACUGUUGCCUCUUUUGUUCCUCCUCCUGUCACUCUAUGAUUUCUAUUUUCCUGAACAUCUGGUAUUCUGUUUGAUGACGGUUUGCUUUGCUUUUACCCUCAUCUCACACAGUAUCUUAUAUUUGAGUAUGUAAGGAGAAGAUAGCACUGUUUAAAAAUUAAAUUGAAUCUAAAGUAGUUUGAAUAUGUAUUUUUAAAAACAUAAGCAAGUUCAUGCUUUGGAACCAGGUGUCCUUAAAGGAUGCUUAUUCCUGUGAUCACCAUCUAAUGGAUAAUGUUGCAGAUAUUUGCUAUGACCUGAAAUAGUAAGCAUGAUUUCUUAACAAAUAAAACAAUAUAAAGGGCAGGAAUCAUGUGAAAUAAAUAUGGUUUAUUAUUUAGUGUUUUUUUCAAAAGCUUCUGUAGUUCCAUAUUCAUGUCCUCUUGUGCAAAUAUGCAGAUGAGAUGACAACACUUGAUUGGGAUUGUCAAGUGUUGUUCUUUUUUUCCCAAAGAAAAUCUUUUAGAGCUUUCUUUUCUUCUCCAAAGCUUUCUUCUGUUUUUAUCAUAACAACAGUGAAUUAAGAAAGAAUAUUUCUUCACAAUUUGAACAGGUGCUUACUGUCUGACGUUAGCAUCUUUAUUGGUUCACAUGCACAUUUUUACUACUGCCAAACAGGUUCUACAGAUCUGAGUAUCCAGUACUGCUGAGUAUCCAACUGUAUCUGUUCUUGUAUCUUAACUGUAUCUUAAGAAAAGGGAUAUAUUAUAUUUAUUUCUUGGAAAUAAUUGAAGCAGUGUAAGAGAGACAAGGAUACUUAUUUGAUUAGAGGUGUAUACAGGCACUACCGAACACCAGCAUUAGUAACCUGCAAGCUAGUACUGUCCUUUUGGGAAAUGAAUAGUAAGAAAAAGCUUUCAGGGAAAAAGCUUUCAAAAAAAGCUUGCCUUGUGGCCUCCAGUCUUACUUAGUCUAACUCAACCUCAUGAACUGGAUGUGAAUUCAGUGGAAUGAAUUAUUAGUUUUAAGAAGAUGUGAAGCUUUUUUCUUCUUCCUGCCCUUGUUGUAAGCUUUAGCACUGCUUCAUAGAUGUGUGCAUUUCAGCCUCCAUGAGCUCUUAACUUUAUGCUGCUCGGUGCCCUCAUCAAAUAUGGAAUAACAUCCUGUCACUCUUUCCCAGAACUGCAGCCACCAGUUAUUAGGAUAAUAUUUACAGUCUUAACAGCCUUUCUAAUGCUGACAGGCACUUAGCAUUAUUCCUCUAAGUUCAGAAAUGGCUUUCUCUCUUCUAGCAAAUUAUUCCUGUUUACUUCCUGGUAGUUUUCUCUCCUCCCUGGCAUGCUGGUGCACAUGUGAACCUCUUGAACUUUCUUUAUUCUGGAUAUGUGUGUGGGUAGAGCAUAAACAAUUCUUAGGGGUAUGGGGAGAAGGUUUAUCAAAUAUACUGUGCACCACGUAUACUUAUAUGUAGAAAUGCAUUUUGGUUUAAAAUAUCAACAAUGAAUUAAGUCAGGUGCUACAAUGUAAAAGGUUUACCACUGUUCUUUUGUGAGAGAUCUAAUUAGGAUGUCUUAGUUGGUCCCAGGGUCCUAAAGGAGCUGGCUGAGGUGGUUGCCCAGGCAGACCUAGGCAGAAAUGUGCAGCAAUUGCUUUCAAUAGAGAACUUUUCCAGUUAGAAACAUACAACCAGUAUCUGUUCAGUGUAUAUUAUUCUCUUCAAUUCACAGAAGAACCCGAGGGUGGAACAAUCUAGUGACGCUAUUUUUUUUCAGAGGAAUACUCCCUGAGUGACCAUCUAGAUGUAAUCAUCCAUACAGAUUUCCUGGGUGGCAUGACUUCUGAACAUAGCUCUUUGUAAACACUGGCUAAAAUAUACCUAAAAUAUACCAGAUGUGGUAUUAUUUCAUCUAGAGCCAAUGGUGAAUAUAGUUGUGAUAAUGUGACAUUGUUGACUACAAAUAAAUGUGUGUAGUUGCAGUGUUGUUCUGAUUGUGUUAAAUUUCACUGAGUCACUCAUGAAAGUUCUCUUAGCUCAAUCUUUGCAAUUUUAAAACAAAGUCGAUGGGCCCUGUGUUUUUCCUUUGCAAAGGAAGCAAACACACAUUUUUUGUUAGUCAUGAAGUGAAUUCAUUAGAAAGAAGACUGAAAUGAAAAUGGUCCAAAGAGUAAUUUUGAUUAAAAAAUCAUCCAAGAAGUAUGUAAUUUACAUUGUUGUAGAAUUCAGUAGAGAAUAAUUUCUACUUUGAAUUAUCUGAUGGUGUUGUACAUAUGGAAUGCCGUUCCCUGUAAGAUUUUGUCAAAACCAUACUAAAACCAAUAAGAAGAGUCUCUCAAUGUGACGGGUGCCCUAGGAACUGCUGCCACCUUGUCAUGCCAUGGCAUGCAGAACAACAAAUUACUACCUCUAGCCAGCAGUGAGGAAAAGAGCAACCUCUGCAGGUCAUGGGAAGUGGGGUGUUUCUUUGCUGCAAUUUUGCAGGGUAACAAAUGGUUCACUGAAGGUCAGAUAACCUCUGAGCUCAGAACUGUGCAGCAGAACCUCCCGUGCAUAAACUGUUUGUGAAGCUCCUUACGGCAUUUUGGAGCGAGCUGGCUUGUUUAUCCAUGUUGGCAGCUGUCACACCAACAUGCAUUUGGUGUGGGUUGCUUUUUCAUUUUGAAUUUGUUAAUAUUUCAUAUUUGAGAAGUUGUUUAACGGCAGCAUAACAGAAAGAAAGGUGCUUUAAGUUUUCAGUAAAUGAAUGAUGCCUAGCUAAAAUGUACUUUCUGAGGAGCUUUCUGAUUUCUUCUGAGAGGUUGAAAUAAGCUGGAUGAUUAAUAGAGAGCUGUAGUACUUGGAAUUUCUGAGGAGUUAGACUGGUACACAAAAUAUUUCAUUCUGAUGUGGCUUUAAGUUGUUUUCCACUGAUCAGUGGUAUAGUUUACUCUGGAAAUACAGUCACUUCCUUAAGCAGAAGAGAUUGUGUAAAACAAAGAUGCAACAGUAUUAAGGUGAAGUGUUGUCUCAGUUGAAAAGAAACAAACCCUCUGUCAGGACGGUGCCAUCUUAACUAAAGUAUGCUUAUAUUCUUCUCCUGUCUUCCUGUUCAUUAUUUUUUGUCUGGAAUACCCAGAUGGAUUAACAGUUCUGCAUUGAUUUAUAAGUAUAAAUAUGUCCCUACAUCAUUUCAAAUUAUUCUUAACACUUAACUCAUCAGAAAUGUAAUUCCUAUGUCUAUAAAAGAGAUAGCCGAUGUAGCUGUGCUUGAAGUGUUUUUUUGUUUUGUUUUUUUUUUGAAAGCCUUGAUCAAAAAAGUCCCAGGAAGGACUAUUAGAGAGAACCUUUGCUAUCCAAAACUGAAGCUACAAAAAUGUAAGUUUUGUUAUUGAAAUGCCUAGUUCUUAUCUCACCUCAGUUUUACAGUUUUUAAUGUAAUGUUGUUAAACAAACAAACAAAACAACAAAACAAAACAAAAAACCAACCAGUGCAUUCUGGUGAAGGAGUAUUUCACCAGAAAUUUAAUGUAGAAAGGGAUGCAAAAUUACCAUCUAGACAUGGAAGAAAUACUAACUGAAAGUGGUUAACUGCCCAUUUCUGCCAUUACUUUUUCUGGAGUCUUAAAGUGCUUAAAUAUACUCAAGUUUACCUGCUUUUUCUUUCAUGCUUGCUUAGAUCACUUAAUAUUAAAUAUUGUUAGCACCAAUGGGAAUUUAGGUACCAAGCAGAUAAUACAUCCCACUGGACUCUGCAUCCGAAUUUUUAACCAGUAUUUAAUAAAUUUUAUUUCUAUUUAUUUUUUAUGAUACCUUCUAUUAUUAAUAGUAUUCUCAAAAUAAGCUAAGGAGAUGUAAUAGAUUUGCAUAGUUAUGAAGCCUGAUAAGUUAUUAAUGGAGAUGGCAUGCAGAAUGAAGAAUUGGUGUUAAUUCUGCUAGAAGUUAGCUGAGAGUACGUGCUGCUCCUCAGUGCCUGUUUUAGGGCUCUUUUUUCCAUCAGGUUUCAGUGAAAUGAAAAGGUGGGGAAUAUUUCACUUAACAAAAGUUUCUUGAAUGUAGUACUUUGUAAAGUAAUUGUCAGACAAUUUUGGCAUUUAAAUAACUGAUAUUUGAUUGUAAAAUUGUUGAAACACAAGACAUAGUGAAAUCCUGGUUAGAAGAACUGCUGGCUGAUGUUCUGGAUGUAGGUGAGUAGUGAAGUGGAAGUAGGUGAUCUAAAGCUGGAAUGGAUUCAGACCUGGAAUUAUUGUUUAGGUUGCAAAAGGGAAUAAAUAAUCUUUGACAGACAUAUUUGAUUUAUUUUUUGGUAGCUCUUGAUAAUCAGUUGUUAACCAUUACUAGAAGAGUUUCUUAGUUUUCUGUACAGUAGAGAGAAUCAGAUACAUAAAUUACGUAGUAUUUGGAACAGAAAUGUGGGUUCAAUUUUUAAUGGUGCAUGUUAUAGAUUGCCACUGGAGACUGCUAAUUUUCAUUCUAAUCUAUCUCUGCAUACUUGGGCAACAGUCACAUUCAUUCCUGAAUUCACAAGCAGUAGAAAAUACAGGUAUGGCUUUGCCUGAAAUUCACAUGAAACCAUCUCUUCUACUCAACAUCAGCAUCUACCUGAAAAGGGUUCUUUCAGUUAGAAAAGAAAAUAAUGCUUUGACCUCUUUCUCCUUCCCCUUUAAUUGCCAGCAUCUGUGGAUAUCCAGCUAUGUGCUGUAGAAGCUUCCAUAACUGAAAUAGCUCUAGAAACAAGAAUAGCCUACAGAGAUACUAAAGCAAAGCUAGGAAUAUUUGUAUUUCUUCUUCUCCACGUAACAGAUGUUGUGAAUUCUUCUCUCAGCUAUGCAGGUUAAAGUCUCAGGCUGUUUGAGGACCUUGAAAUGUGCUGAUUUAAAUGGUUGUUUUGUUUAAUAAUAUGGUGCCACUCCAGUUCAUUUCUCUGCUUUUUCUAAAAAGAUGAAGGUGAUUGAAAUUAGAUUAAAUUGUAAAGCUUUCUGAGUUGUCACAACCAAUUGCCUGUCCUUGUGCUGUUAUAGCUCUGGACAUACAUGUCAUCCUGAAUGCUUCAAUUGGAGAUAAACAUGUUUCUGAUAACAGGCAGUUUACACUUUGGCUACACCAAUCUCACUUUAACAGUAGACUGCAAACAAUGAUACAUUUCUACAUUAUUUUUAUUGCACCAGAGGGAGGGAAAAGACUCUUGCAUUAUUUAUUUUCUCUGGAACCUUAGCAUCCAUACUGUGAAUUAAAACUAUCAUUUGAUAUAGACACAUAAUUUCAUUACAAUCCACAUUUUCAGAAAGACUUAUUUUAUAUGAAGGAAAUCACAAAUCAGAGAACAGUGUGGUGCGAGAGAUGUGACGUGCAUGUUUGCUUCUCACUGUUACAGUUUGCACUAUGAAAGAACACAGUACUUUUCAGUCAGCUGAGCACACAACCACCAGUGAAACAGAAGCGACAGCCUUUUGUAAAUACUAUUUUGAAGAAACAGUGUCAUUCUUUGCCUCCAAGUUCCAAACUUGCUGGAUGACUGUGAUUGCACUGGUGACAGUGACAUACCUUCUUACUGAGAAGAAUCCAACCCUAUGCAUGCUGAGAUCUUGACUCUUGGUUAUCCAACUGGAGGAAAUAUUUCUCCGUACUGGAAGAUAACUAGUCUCAAGUUUGCAAAAGUAGGUAGCUAGGACCAGGUUAUGCUACAUUUAGUAAUUGUGCACUUCUGUACAUCUCCAUUUCUUACUUGAUAAAUCAGUUAAUUUUCAAAGAUUAAUUUUUUUUUUUCCAAUUGCUGUCAUGGCCUUGAUGAGGAUGAUUUUUUGUAAAACUUCUAGUUCUUUUUGAAAAAUCAGCGCAGGAAGUUUUGAGAAAAGGAAAGUAACUGCAUACAUUGAUUUUUAAAAGGUAUAGUGAGAGUUCAUUUAGGAAGGAACUUUAUAAUAGAGGCAGAAGCUCUACGCUGAAAUGAAGAGAGUUAAAUUUAGAAAGGCUUAGAUUAUUUUCCUUUCUAAAAAGAGCAUUUUGUUUUUACUUUUAAUGGGGAAGGUCAUCUUCUUUGAUUCUUUGUUAUGCAGUAAAAGGUUUCUUGUUCCAAAUGAAGUACAGAAGAGAUCACAGAGUAUCACAGAGCGGUUUAUUGCAUAGAACAGAUCCAGUGUGCUUGGAAGGAAAAGUAGGAUGUUAGAUAAUUUGGACCUAAUCGGAAAUUUCAAGAGAGAUCUGAUAGAGCUUGAAAGAGUAAAUUGCAGGAUAUGUACACUUCUUAGGAAAUAUACCUAUCUUCAUCUGGAUUGAUUUUUCCCUUAUUUCCUCUUUGGUAACUAACCAGCUGAUUUACUCAGACCUUCUAUUUCAGUUUUCUUUGCGUUCCUUAAGUCUUCCUGAAGACCAAAUUAACAAAAGAAUUCAAAGCAAGUCUUUGAAUCAGAUCAUAGAAUCAGAGAAUCAGUAGAUUGGAAAAGACCCUUAAGUUCAAGUCCAAGCAUGCUUGUAGGCAAACAGCAGUCAUGUAGUCCAUCGUGAUGCUGACUUUUGUCAGAUGAACUCAAACCAACUGUAGAACCAACCAUCUGCUCGGUUCAGACUCUCUUCCUGUUCCAUCCACUGCUGGCUCAUGUCCAGCUUCUCGUCCACCAGGACCCCCAAGUCCUUCUGAAGGAGAUUUUCCCCCAGUCUGUAGAAACACCUGGGAUUACCCCGGCAUAAGUGCAACACCUUGCCCUUGGCCUUGUUGAACCUCAUUAGGUUCACAUGAGCCCACUUCUCCAGCC